GAUGAACGCUGGCGGCGUGCCUAAUACAUGCAAGUCGAGCGAACAGACGAGGAGCUUGUUCCUUUGACGUUAGCGGCGGACGGGUGAGUAACACGUGGGUAACCUACCUAUAAGACUGGGAUAACUUCGGGAAACCGGCGCUAAUCCCGGAUAAUAUUUCGAACCGCAUGGUUCGAUAGUGAAAGAUGGCUCUGCUAUCACUUAUAGAUGGACCUGCGCCGUAUUAGCUAGUUGGUAAGGUAACGGCUUACCAAGGCAACGAUACGUAGCCGACCUGAGAGGGUGUUCGGCCACCUUGGAGCUGGGACACGGUCCAGACUCCUACGGGAGGCAGCAGUAGGGAAUCGUCCGCAAUGGGCGAAAGCCUGACGGAGCAACGCCGCGUGAGUGAUGAAGGUCUUCGGAUCGUAAAACUCUGUUAUUAGGGAAGAACAAACGUGUAAGUAACUGUGCACGUCUUGACGGUACCUAAUCAGAAAGCCACGGCUAACUACGUG
rnacentral:rRNA from 1 species